rnacentral:rRNA from 1 species
CCUACGGGUGGCUGCAGUGGGGAAUAUUGGACAAUGGGGGGAACCCUGAUCCAGCCAUGCCGCGUGUGUGAAGAAGGCCCUCGGGUUGUAAAGCACUUUCAGUGAGGAAGAACGCCUGGUGGUUAAUACCCAUCAGGAAAGACAUCACUCACAGAAGAAGCACCGGCUAACUCCGUGCCAGCAGCCGCGGUAAUACGGAGGGUGCGAGCGUUAAUCGGAAUUACUGGGCGUAAAGCGCGCGUAGGUGGCUUGAUAAGCCGGUUGUGAAAGCCCCUGGCUCAACCUGGGAACGGCAUCCGGAACUGUCAAGCUAGAGUGCAGGAGAGGAAGGUAGAAUUCCCGGUGUAGCGGUGAAAUGCGUAGAGAUCGGGAGGAAUACCAGUGGCGAAGGCGGCCUUCUGGACUGACACUGACACUGAGGUGCGAAAGCGUGGGUAGCAAACAGGAUUAGAUACCCUUGUAGUC